ensembl:lncRNA
UAAAAGUGGUCUGACACCAGAUGGUGUGCUGUGGCUCGCUGAUGCCGGGACCGUCCCGUUCAUAAGGACUGCUUACCAAGUUGUUCAGCCAUUUACGCUCUCUCCCUCAAUAAAGUAUUGUAAUGCAUGUAAUUGUUGCAAGAACCCAGAUCAACCUAUGUGCCAAGACUGCGAGGGUGAGAAAGGGAAAUGUUGGUUCAGCUGGAAGGUAAUACCAUUGCAACUCUUUCCCAGAGGUAAACCUUGGAGUGUAAGGAGCUCUUGAACCAAUUUUCAUCAGAGACAGACAGACUACCACAUUAAUGUCAAUCCUAUCUUUGGCUCAUUUUGUCAUGCUCUUGAUUCACCCGAUAACUCAUUGGACCCUUAAACACAUCAUAGUUUCUAGUGGAGGAAGAUAAAUCUGAAGGCCGUAAUCAAGAGGUCACAUUUCAACCUACAUGUCCUGCUGUUUUAUUUCAGUAGCCUUCUUUUUUUUGUCUCAUGAGAGAGACAGCUACAAGUUAACAACUCCGGCCUAUUUUAAACUUGAGUUGAUGAGUUGGUCACUCAUCAGGUUUGCUCUUCUGCUCUUUAAAGAAUCAGCCAGAUGGACGUGAACAUUGACUGGGGUAUUGGGGAUAUGUGAAGAGAGCUCUGUGAGGCGGAAAGCCCACUGAGUGAGCGCGUGGGAAGAGGGGGGAGAUGUGUUCAUGACUGAUUGUUUCCAGGCCUCCUUUAGGGAGGUUCUGCAGCCACACAGGGUCAAAGAGUGCGAGGGGUGGUUGUGUGUCUCAUUAACACGCUGUAACGAUCGGCUGGCCAGCGAGGUCAGAUGACAUACUUCUCAGCUGCAGCUCAAAUCCAAAUCACUCACAAAUGAAAAUGUGUUGUAUUGAUGUAAUGUGAAUGUGAAAUCAUACGGCUGGCGAUCUCAAGGUAUUUGACUUGUCUGGGCUCAUGUGUGUGUUUAAAUGACCAGUUAUUUAUUUCCUGCCCCUGUAUGCUCCCACACGCGACCGUUUUUUUCCCCUCGACUGUCACACAGACCCUGGGGUCUCUCCUGGUACAGAUGUCUGUAUUUUGCGUGUAUGUGUGUGUGUGCUCGAGUGCUUCUGGCUUGGCUGCCUGUUGCUGUAGUGAUGUGGGGGUAUUUUCGGUAGCGCUCCACACCUCCCUUGCCACCCCCCAUCCCCCUCUCUCCUGUGGUGAUGCCGGUUGCCCCGGGCUGGGUCAAACACUCCCUGAUGGAAGGGUGAAGCAGCCCGGCGCAGGACAGGCUGUGAGACGAGUCCCCCAACAUGAUCUGAAGGGCAACGGCGCUCGCUCUACCCCACAGACCCUUCUGUCACACCCGGAUGCAGGCACUCAUGCUCCCUGCUCAGCUGCAUCUCUUGGAAUUCAGCCCUAUCCAACCCAAUGUCUGCUUCAUCUCCAAAGGGUGUGUAUGUUUGUGUGGCUGCAACACAAGCGCCGCAAAACAAAUACCCCCCCUAGGGCUUCUUCUGCAGCCCGAUCUUUUGUUAUGUCAGAAAGCACAAGCAAGUUCUCUCUCUCUCUCUCUCUCUCUCCCUCGCUCUCUCUCUCUCUCAGACUGAAAACUACAAUUUUCCACAGAGCUGCUGAACUGAUUUUGAACACACGGAGGACUCAUCCUCCCCUGUUCUUUCUGCGGGAGCGUGGACACGCUGGCCCACUUCCUCCCCGUCCCAACAAACCGCAAACCAUCCCGCUCAGUUGUCAGUGCUCGCCUUGCUGCCCCGGCUCCUAUCGCAGCACAUCUCCACUGCAGACAGAGAUCUGCAGAAAGUGGGCAGGCACGGCUCAGUUCCUCUCGCCCACAAAGCCGCUGUGUCAUUUGUGUGUGUGCAACGUGCAUCAGUGA